UUUGACCGUGCAAAGGUAGCGCAAUCACUUGUCUUUUAAAUGAAGACUAGUAUGAACGGCAUCACGAGGGCUUAACUGUCUCCUCUUUAAAGUCAAUGAAAUUGAUCUCCCCGUGCAGAAGCGGGGAUACGCUCGUAAGACGAGAAGACCCUAUGGAGCUUAAGACAUAAAGUAACCCAUGUUAAAUACCCCCUAAAGGAAGAAAACAAAUUGAGCCUUACUGGCAUGUCUUCGGUUGGGGCGACCGCGGGGAAAAAUAAAACCCCCACAUGGACCAAGGCCACUACCCCUCAAAAAUAGACCCACAGGUCAAAUUAGCAGUACUUCUGACCAUAAAAGACCCGGCAUCCAGCCGGUUAAUGGACCCAGUUACCCUAGGGAUAACAGCGCAAUCCCCUCCCAGAGACCUCAUCGUCGA
rnacentral:rRNA from 1 species